rnacentral:tRNA from 1 species
CAUGCUGCUGGUGAAGGACUUCUUCAAGGGCUUUACCGGCAAGCCGGUGGCCGAUGCCACCCAGACGACGGAAGUGCUGGUCUGCCUGUCGUGC